GUGGGGAAUAUUGGACAAUGGGCGAAAGCCUGAUCCAGCCAUGCCGCGUGUGUGAAGAAGGUCUUCGGAUUGUAAAGCACUUUAAGUUGGGAGGAAGGGUAGUAACCUAAUACGUUGCUACUUUGACGUUACCGACAGAAUAAGCACCGGCUAACUUCGUGCCAGCAGCCGCGGUAAUACGAAGGGUGCAAGCGUUAAUCGGAAUUACUGGGCGUAAAGUGCGCGUAGGUGGUUCAGCAAGUUGGAGGUGAAAUCCCCGGGCUCAACCUGGGAACUGCCUCCAAAACUACUGGGCUAGAGUACGGUAGAGGGUAGUGGAAUUUCCUGUGUAGCGGUGAAAUGCGUAGAUAUAGGAAGGAACACCAGUGGCGAAGGCGACUACCUGGACUGAUACUGACACUGAGGUGCGAAAGCGUGGGGAGCAAACAGGAUUAGAAACCCUAGUAGUCC
rnacentral:rRNA from 1 species